rnacentral:snRNA from 1 species
GGGUGUAAGGGCGAUCUGGCUGAGAUACGUCACCCCAUUGAUAGCCAGGGUUCAUUUAGCUGAUCUAGUUGGCUAGGUAGGUGUCCCCUUCUUCCCUCAUCACUCUCUGUCCCUCCCAAAAUUCUGUGCUCAGUGGAAGACCACAACCCCCGAUAGAGGAAUACCGCCUCCUCUGUCAAGGAUAUAUGAGUAGCUGUGCCCCGUUGUUAGAACCUCCAACAAGCUCUCAAGGUCCAAAAUUUGAGUUAGAUCCCUGUUCAGCUGUGCGUGUAGGCAUGUUAAUCACUUAAAGAGUGUCUAUGACAU